UUGCCUUUUAAUUGGAGGCUUGUAUGAACGGACACACGAAAACGCAACUUUCUUAUCGAGGAAAAUAAAAAUUAACCUUCAAGUGAAGAGACUUGAGUAUCAUAAAAAGACGAAAAGACCCUAUGGAGCUUUACUUAAAUUAUUAAACCACAAAUAAAAAAAAGCUUUUUUUACUAAAAAAGUUUAGUUGGGGCGACUAAGGAGCACACAUCACCCUCCUACUGACAAAAGACUCUAAAUCUACAAAAGAUCCACAAACGUGAAUAAAAACCCAGCUACCCUAGGGAUAACAGGCUAAUCCUCCUUAAGAGCUCAAAUUGACAGGAGGGCUUGGCACCUCG
rnacentral:rRNA from 1 species